GGGCUCGUGGUCUAGAUCGGCAUUCAUCCUGGCUCCUGCGCUUCUAGUCUGGAUUAGGACGCUGGCCUGCGGAGCCGGAGAUCUGGGGUUCAAAUCCCCACGGGCCCG
rnacentral:tRNA from 1 species